rnacentral:rRNA from 1 species
UGCCAGCCUCCGCGGUAAUACUGAGGGGGUUAUCGUUGUUCGGAAUUACUGGGCGUAAAGCGCACGUAGGCGGAUCAGAAAGUUAGGGGUGAAAUCCCGGGGCUCAACCCCGGAACUGCCUCUAAAACUCCUGGUCUUGGGUUCGAGAGAGGUGAGUGGAAUUCCGAGUGUAGAGGUGAAAUUCGUAGAUAUUCGGAGGAACACCAGUGGCGAAGGCGGCUCACUGGCUCGAUACUGACGCUGAGGCGCGAAAGCGUGGGGAGCAAACAGGAUUAGAUA